rnacentral:lncRNA from 1 species
GUUUUUAAUGAAAUUAGAAGCAGGAUAACUCUAUUUAAUAAACUUGGUGGACACAGAUGGGUUUGAAUGUUACUUUAAUAUCGAAGAAAGAAACACAUUGUGGUUAUGUUAGUCAAAUAUGGACAUUACAAAAUCAUGAAUAUCCAAGUUUUCAGUAAAACAAAGAGUGAACAGUGAAACAGUGUGGGUAUUGGUGAUAAAUGUCGUCGCGCUCAGUGUCGAUCCCCUCCCCCGCACUGAACCAGCGCUGGAUGACUCGAGGUUUCAAAAAACAACACAUACGUCACAGGCGCAGUGCGGAUGGAUAUGGGUUAGCGGGGAAAAGGUCUUGCGCAAUCCGGUUUAAACUGGUUUUAUAGCCGGGGCUACUUCACGAUUUUACUGCAGUGUAGCAGUGCGCAUGCGUGGGACGUUAAUUCAGUGGUAUCAACAAAACAUUCUUCUGCUUUAGUGUGGAAACUACCAGAAUAUUCCAACAACCACCAGUUCCGACAAAUCAAGCGUUUCGUCACUUGGUCAGGGAUUUUAGAGUUACAGUUAGGUUAUGUAUUGUGUCAGGAAUACGUCAGGGGAUACACACCUUAAUAUAAAUGUGAAUGUUACCAUGACAGGACAUCUCUGAGCUGUGAGUCAACUGUGAAGAGCAGAGAGUCAGUGGAAGAUGGAAAAGUAUUUUACUCCAGUGUGCGGAUCAUCAGAAGAUGAGCUUAAACUUCAGAAACAUCAACGUCAUGGUCUUCAUCACCAUGUACAGCACCGCCAUCCCAACCAAAACCAAUACAGAGGACCACAUGGCCCAAGUCCUUUGGGUGAAUACAGAAGACUCAGUGAUACUCAUGGCCUCCAUCAACACGACUACCCAAGUCACACCCUUUACCAUCGGAAUCACGCAAGCUCUGUAGGACAGAACAGCCGACAAAACACUCUUUCCAGAGCAUCCACAUCCAGCCUCUCUUCCUCCUCUUCCUCGUCGCCUUGGACAUCGGAGCCCAGUCUAGACAAUGAGAGAUACCUCCUGCAAAACAAACCCCAGCAUUCCCUGUCCUGCUCCAACAUUCCAGAAGCCAGGCAUAAGUUCCAAGAUGAGGAAUCAGAGGAUCUGGACUUUGAUCAAAGUGACUCAGCAGUUUUCUCGCACCAUCGUCACCAGCAGGAACAUCCACAAAAAAUUGGCAAAUCUGAAAAACAGCGCCAGGGUUUGACACAAAGGCAGAAGCCAUCCCAACUCCGUAGAGGCCAGAGCAGAAGUGAGGAGAGGCUAGAGCAGAGCCUCAGGGCAGUUAGAAAAGCCCACCCAAUAGAGCCAGGCCCACUGUACAAGACCACCAGCCUGGGACAAAACCUUGCCUUCAACGAAAGCACCACAGGAGCAGCAGCAAGAGGCAUGGCAGGACCUAAAAGGGCAGUGUCAUCCAUUCAGCUGCCAAGCAAAGGCAUCUUGAAGAACAAAGAUGAAGGCCAGCUGCAAGGAAAUUUCCGGAAAUCUAAGUCUAUGGAGGUACUGUCCACUAGAGUGCAAGUGACUGGUCAACGCAAGCAGAGCACAGUGGAGACAGUAAAAGCAGAUGUCCUGAAAGGAAAGCUUGAUUUUUCUGCCUUUCUGGACGAAAUCACCAUGCAGGUCAUCAGCCCAUCCAGGCUUAGCUCAUUCGGAAUCACACGGAGCCCCACACAAACGUCUCCCAAAAUGUCCCAUGAGGAACACAGACAGCCCACUAAAGCAGCCACAGCGGGACAGGAGCGCACUCAGUCCAUAACCAAACAGCACAGUUCUAAACCCACCAGAUCAGACGAGAUCAGAAAAGGAAUGGAUUCUAACUCGCCCUCUCACUCACACAGGAAACCUCAACUCAGCAAAAACAACCGUAACCGUCACACUGCCACUCCUUCCAGUCCUUCCAGCCCUCAACAGCAGCUCCAGCACCAGCAGCAUAGCUACGAGAGGCGUCCCAGCAAUACUGAGAGCCCUGCUAACAGACAUGGAGGCACAUCCUCCCACAAACAGAAGCAUGGAAAAUACAACCAACUCCACACUGAUGGCACCAGCACCAGUCCCGAGCCAGUGCAGCAGGAGAAGCACCAUCACGCCAAGCACACAGGACCUCACCGCGGAGGCCGUGGCCUGGCUGGGCAGCCUUAUACCGUACAUGAGCACAGGGGCUCUCCACCUCCAGCCAGAACCUCUGGCGUGGAAUCUGAGUCACAUUCUGGCAAGUCCUCCACAGCCACCAGCCCCAGCUCUGAGAACAGCCAGAAGCACAAACACCCUGGACACAGGAGACACUCCAAAAACUCCCAAAAGGAUUCAGCGAGCAUCGAGGACAGAGCUGAACUACUGGAGCAGUACAGCAAGGAGCUGCAUGAAAAUCUUUUGCAGGCAGUAGCUUGCAUUGAAAACAUGGAGGGAGAGCUUCAGUGCAGCAAAGCAGAAUUAAACAGCUUUAAAGAGAAAUACAAAAGGCUGCAGGAGAACUACUCUAGCUGCCAGCAGGCCAACAUUGUAAUAGAGCAGAAGCUUCAGUCUGUGGUGGACAGCAUGAACUCGGAGAGAAAAUACCACAUGCACAGGAUUAUGGAACUGACUAAGCAGCUGGAUGCAGCUAAAAAUACCAUCAUCUCACUGGAAAACAUCAAUGUUCCCUGUUUGAUUAAGGAGCUGUUGGAUAAGCAUUUUGACUCUCAGGAGGCUGUGAGGAGCUUCUUACUCUCCCCCAGCUCACCUGCUCAGUCUGACACUGACCAAUCAAACAGAGCCUUAGGACUCAGGGACAACAAAUCACCUGCUGGGAGAGAGGAAGAGCAAGAAUCUGAUUGGUUUUUCUCUGCUCAGAGAGGCCUAAGUGACAGACAGCAGCAUGUGACAGCAUUUUUGCCAUGGACAGAAAGUCAAGACCCGUGGACAGUGUCAGAGAAGACUGUAGUUGAUGAACACAAGGCCACCCUUCAUCCAAAACCUGAGGAUUCAAACUUACCUUUUACUGUCGCUGAUAUUAGCCAGGCCAUCUAUAGAAAGAUUACAGAUGAGAAGUCCAAAGGGGAAGACUCUAUGGUCACAGUGCAUCAUUUAGGUUUAGAGACAGACAUGCACUCUGGCAGCAUGUGGAGGGCAAAUGAUGUUCCAGCUAAUCCAUACAGCCUGGAGGAUACAGGCACAAACAGAGCAGCAGGAGUGCAGAGAAUAGACACAAGUUCAGUUAAUUCACGAAAGGACUCAAAUGAGGUCACCUAUAUUUCAGCUCAGAAGAUGCUGGAUGAUUUUAUGAGCCAGAUUCCUUCCCCAGUGCAGGAAGGCCCGUUAGAGAGAGAUCAUGUGGGCAGGGACUGGGCCAGGAGGCCUGCAGAGGGCUUUUAGGAUUCUAUAACAGAUUAGCUCCACUGAAUGUUUUAACAGUGGCAAACAGUGAAUAUCAAAUGGAAUCUAGUAAACACUUUGCAUGAUUCAUUUAUGAUGCUUAUUCUCUUUCAGCUCAUUCACUGUUAGAAUCUUUAGCAUUUCUCACUGAAAAAUUAUUUGAAAGCCUGAGGUUUCUUUAACAAGACUUUCUGGUGACAUUUGCUUUUAAGUGUCUUUACAGUUUUUAUAAUUAGAAAAGCAUUUUAAAAUGGAGAUCUAUUCUUUGUAUUUGGAACUUGAUUUUUAGUCAUAAAACAAUAUAAGAGACUAUAUAAGACUCUUACCAAAUGCAACUAUAUUUAUGAACGUGAAUAUAUUACUAUUUGCUUAUUUACUAAGACUCUGAUAACCUAUAUGACCAAAUUACAUCCACUCAUUCCAGCUUGCACCUAUAUAAUAAAAUAAAAAUAAAAAAGCA